UACGUAGGGGACAAGCGUUGUCCGGAUUUACUGGGCGUAAAGGGCACGCAGGCGGUUUUUUAAGUCAGAUGUGAAAGGUCCCGGCUCAACCGGGGAACGGCAUUUGAAACUGGAGAACUUGAGUAUUGGAGAGGCAAGUGGAAUUCCUAGUGUAGCGGUGAAAUGCGUAGAGAUUAGGAGGAACACCAGUGGCGAAGGCGGCUUGCUGGACAAAUACUGACGCUGAGGUGCGAAAGCGUGGGGAG
rnacentral:rRNA from 1 species